rnacentral:lncRNA from 1 species
CAGAGAUUUCUACACCUUGAUUUUAAUUUACUUUGGUGAUAUGACUAUUAGCAAUAUUCUUUUUAGGUGUGGCAAUUCCCAGGUUUGUGUUGAACAAAUCCUAGUCAUGUUUCUUGAUAUUGGGAAGAUAAUAUCUCUGCUCUAGAUGAACACAUAACCAAGGGAAAUAACAUUUUCUAACAAAAACUGUAGCUGUCAGUUUUAUUAACACAUUGACUAGGACAGCAGAAUUUCUAAUAAACACAGUUGAUGUAAGGUGGCUUUUUAGCAGCUUUACUCCAAACUGAGGCCAAGACAAUUCACAGGUACCCUGAACUCAUGAGGAAGCCAAUUGUUUUCUCUUCCUUGAAAUAAAAUUGAGAAGCUUGAAAUACAUAGUUUAAGAGCACAUACUGAAGUCAGCUACACUCUGCCAGUUAUUAACUAUUAUUUAACCCCAUGUGAUCUUCAAUUUUCCUGCCUCUACUGUAGGGAUAAGAACAGGCAGGUGGAGAUGAUUCCCAUGGGAUAGCACGUAGCCUGGCACAUGAUAAACAUAUAAUAGAGGUAAACUUUGUUGAUGCUAAACUAUGUUUUCUUAACUUUUGCCAAGAGCAUGAAGAGUUCCCCCAAUUUCACCAAAAUGGAACAAUAUUUCUAGACUCUUAGCCUAAAUUCAGUAACAUAGUAACCAGCAGAUGUUCAGAACAUUCACCCCACCUUACACUCUGUGGGUGCAAAACGGAAUCAUCAGCAUUUGAAGCUCCUGUUUACUCAUUUUCUAGACUGAAAUUCACUUCAGGUGGAUUUCCUCAACAGCAACCAAAUUGAGACCGUUCUGCCCACAUAAUUUUACUGCCUAUUUUAGUUCUUAUAAGCUAUGAUAUGUAAAUUAAUUAAUUAACAAUAUGUAAAUAAUUUACAUAUCAUAGCUUGUGAGAACUAGACUAUACAUAAAUAUAUACAUGCACACACAUACACAUUGGUUAUAGUAGGACUGAGGUUCUGUGACUUCAUGGUGAAAGUGUUUGUAUUAAAUUACCUGCCUUUAGGCCAGGCGCAGUGGCUCAAGCCUGUAAUCCCAGCACUUUGGGAGGCGGAGACGGGCGGAUCACAAGGUCAGGAGAUCGAGACCAUCCUGGCUAACAUGGUGAAACCCCGUCUGUACUAAAAAAUACAAAAACAAACAAACAAACAAAAACAAACAAACAAACUAGCCGGGCGAGGUGGCGGGCGCCUGUAGUCCCAGCUACUCAGGAGGCUGAGGUGGGAGAAUGGCGUAAACCCGGGAGGCGGAGCUUGCAGUGAGCUGAGAUCCAGCCACUACACUCCAGCCUGGGCGACAGAGCGAGACUCCGUCUCAAAAAAAAAAAAAAAAAAGAAAUUAAAACACAUAAAUGUUUAAAACACAAAAGUGAGUGAGUAUACACCCCAUAACCAUCAGAGCAUUGACAUGAUCAUACAUGAGGUAAUCUCAGGACAUGGGGGAAAAAAAAAAAAAAAAUGAGUGAAAAUGGCAAAUAACAUCUUGGUAUUAUUAUGAAAAUUGUUUUGACCUUACAGAUUUCCUGAAAAGAGGGGAGAUCCCAGAUCAGCCUUGGAGAACCUCUGAUGUAAGUAAAUCAAAAUAGUCAUGCCCCUAGUUUUCCAAAUCUCGUUAUAGCAAUGUGUUACCCAGUGAUCUGAUUUUGGCCAUUGGGAUUUGGGCAGAAGUAAAUAGAGGAGAUUUAUGGGAGAGCUCUUAUUUUAGUGAUAAAAAGGAAAAAGUAGGAAUGUGACUGGCUCACUCUUUCUCCUCUGUCAUUGUCUUAAAAGUGGUUAUAAGCUAUGGAGCUGCAACAGGCCACUUGCAACCAUAAGAUUGCAAAAAUGAGGCUGGAAGUCAAUCCGUAGGGUGACAAGAAUAGAAAGUUAAAAAUGAGCCCGAGUCUCUUAUUUCAUCAUUAAGUAGCUGAAUGAAUAAAAGAAAAUCAUACCUCCGGGUGUCUUAUGAGGGAAAAUAAAUCCCUGUUUAUUUAAACCAUUGUAAAUUAUUUUUUCUGUUACUAGAAGCUGAACACACUCCUUAUCGUUAUCUUUAAUCAGCUUUGAAAUCAAAGUUUUAUUAGCAUUAUAAAAUAAGUUCAGAGCGUUCCCAUUUCUAUUGUCUGGCACAACUUACAGAAGACAGAGAAUAUUUUGCUGAAAAGUUUGGUUGAUACUAUGUAUUCAUAAAAAUUGUCUGAAUCUGGAGUCUUUGUUGUUUAGUAUAUAUUUUACAAGAUUUGGCCCUUAAAUUAUAUUUUUGCCUUUUUAGCUUUUUGGUAGUUUCAAUAAUAUCAAGUGUUCAUUUUUUGUUAUACCAAUUUUGGCAUAUAUUUUUAAAUAAAUGUUUUUAUACUUUUCAGUUUUCAAAUGUAUUGCUGUUCUCAAUAUUUUUAGCAUGUUUUAACCUUGUUAUGUCUGACUAGUUCUCUUUUAACAUUCUCUGCAUAUUUUCUUGAUCUGUCUUGCUGUAGGGUUGCCUCACUUGUGAUUCUUUACAAAAAACUGAUUUUCAAUUUUCUGUAUCUGUUCCACAUUUUUCUCUAUUUCAUUGUAUGAGUUUAUUUUGUUGCUAUUUUCUUAUUUUUUGGGUUACAUAUUUGGCUCCUUGGCGUUCAAUCAUUUUAAAUACAAACUACAAAUUUCUCUCUACAAGCUGAUUUUAAAAUAUUUUAUUUUCAUUUUAUGC